CUCAGUUCGGAUUGAAGGCUGAAAUUCGCCUUCAUGAAGCUGGAAUUGCUAGUAAUGGCAGGUCAGCAUACUGCCGUGAAUACGUUCCCGGGCCUUGUACACACCGCCCGUCACACCAUGAGAGUUGGGAAUACCCGAAGCCUGUGAGCUAACUUUUAGAGGCAGCAGUCGAAGGUAGAAUCAAUGAUUGGGGUGAAGUCGUAACAAGGUACC
rnacentral:rRNA from 1 species